rnacentral:rRNA from 1 species
CGGGGUGAGUAACGCGUGGAUAACCUGCCUUGCACUGGGGGAUAACACUUAGAAAUAGGUGCUAAUACCGCAUAAGCGCACAGAGCCGCGUGGCUCAGUGUGAAAAACUCCGGUGGUGUAAGAUGGAUCCGCGUCUGAUUAGCUAGUUGGCGGGGUAGAAGCCCACCAAGGCGACGAUCAGUAGCCGGCCUGAGAGGGUGAACGGCCACAUUGGGACUGAGACACGGCCCAAACUCCUACGGAAGGCAGCAG